rnacentral:lncRNA from 1 species
AAAAGUUCUCUUUUUUUAAUACAUCAUAUGUCUCAACACCCGACCAUAAUUGUUUUAACUCUUCAAUAAGUGGCUGCAAAUAGAUGUCAAUAUCAUUUCCGGGACCUUUCUCUCCAGGAAUAAUCAUUGAUAAAAUAAACGAAGAUUGCUUCAUGCAAAUCCAUGGAGGCAAAUUGUAAGGAACAAGCACCACAGGCCAAGUACUGUACGAAGUACUCAUGAUUUUAAAUGGAUUAAAGCCGUCAGCUGCUAGCCCAAGCCUCACAUUUCGAGGAUCGCUUGCAAAGCUUGAAAAUUUCAUGUCAAAUGAUUUCCAAGCUAAAGAAUC